rnacentral:misc_RNA from 1 species
UGCCUGUUCGAGCGUCAUUAUAACCACUCAAGCCUCGGCUUGGUCUUGGGGUUCGCGGUCUCGCGGCUCUUAAAAUCAGUGGCGGUGCGUCUGGCUCUAAGUGUAGUAAUUCUCUCGCUAUAGGUCCGGGCGGUUCCCUGCCAGAACCCCUAAUUUUUACGGUUGACCUCGGAUCAGGUAGGGAUACCCGCUGAACUUAA